rnacentral:tRNA from 1 species
CAAGACGUAGCUAUAAGACGAAAGCGUUCAGCUUACACCUGAAAGAUAUCCAUAACCUAUCGGAUCGUCUUGA